GAUAGUGGAAAGAAUUGAGGUAAAUAAACUAAAAGCAAGUAAAAUCAAGCAUUAUAUUAACGUACAUCGGGUAUUUUUCUUUACACCAACUCACAAUUGAUGCCAAUUCACAUAUCGGUAGGUAAAGGGAAGAUAAAGUCCCUCAAGAACAUUUUUAGUACAAAAUAUGGAUAGUUGUGCAUGAUAUAAUGGAAAGAAUUUUAACGUCUUUCUUUUUCAAUCCAUCAAAUAUUGUAUAGUCCAAUUUACCAAACAUGCCAGAAGAGAACACGAGGCGUAAAACUAAUCAUCUCCAUUCUAAUAACAUCCACCCUCCCCAUUGGCGUCCUCCUUAAUCUAGUAUACCUUUUUCUUAUUGAUUUCUUUGAUGUUUCACACUGCCACUGAUCCUAUGGGAGCCUGCCGUUGUCCAAGUACAUUUCUCAACGCUGUGUCGAUUUGGGUAAAUACGUCCUCCUUGGAAAGACUUCCAUCCACCUGCAACCACAGAAAAAGAAGGUUCUUUGGAGUGAUAGGGUGAGGAAGAUGCGAUUUAGCUCCAAGUACAAGGAAUUUCACAUUAAGAUAUCAACUUUCUAACAAACAGAGAACAUGGUCAAUGUUAGGCACUGCUUAAAUUAUAAUUUAAGCUGAUGAAACAUGCUUUUUAUCCAGAAACAACUUACUACUUAUUAUCUAUACAUUCUGCAAGAUCCAUGGCUUAUAAGUACUUAAAGGCCUCCCAAAAAUGUUAUUAAUUUACUUAGUGGUAGCAAUAAUAGGAUAGUUACACUGUUUACAGUAAAUGACUCGUUAAUCUGGUUCACGUUCUAUAAAACAUCCAUGACAACAGUCAGCGGAGUGCAAGGGGAAGAAUCUGCUGAAUACUUCACCCACAAAACCGAUCUUUAUUCCAAAAUAUCAACCGCGAAGGACCAUUAUUCACUUUCAAGAGAAGUUUUAACCUUUUUUUAACUGAGCUCACUGAGCUAGAUACAUGUGUGCCGCAAAAGGAAGAUGGAACUCAACUACCUCAAUGAGAACCCAAAUAUAAGAGGGGUGAAGUUUCAACUUCCUGAAAAUUCAACAUGUACGAGCGAAAAGGUUUUAAGCAGAUCUGUAAACAAGCGAGAUUUGACAUAGGGAAAUGGACGUGUGAUUGCAUUAGUAUUUCUGAACUAAAGAAUGCUACAAUUACAAGCACUACGACUUAGGCUGGAAACUAUGAUUUUGGUUCAUGAGUGAUAAAGAGUGGAGAAAAAGGGGAGCAAAGGAAGGAAGCUAAAGCAGAGAAAAUAUAGGGAAGAAACUAAGGCAGCAACUGACACAAUUAAUAUAUAAGAGAACCCAUAAUAAUAACUUAAAAUUUAAAAAAAAAAAAAACAUGCUAGACAGCACUAAUUAGAUGUUAUAAGUUAGGGAUGAUAUGUUUGGUACGUUGGUUGAUUGGUCUAAGAGGUUUAAGAAUGGCAAAUUUUAAGAGCUGUGUUUAAUUUAUGUAUCAGCUACCCAACAUGUCAUGAAAUGUAAACGCCUCGAAAAUAAGCCAGUGCAUAAUUUUGAAUCCGGCUGAUGUAUUGAAAAAUAAAAAACUAAAAAAUAAUAGAGUUAAAUUGUAAGUUAAAAAAUCAAGAAAUUAAAUUAGGGCUGUGUUAGCUCUAAUUCAAAUACGAAUCAGCCACCAGUGGUGGUAUAUGAUUCUACUGUGGGAAAUAGCAACUUCAAACCAGCCAGCAGUGUCCCAGUCGGACUUGGAACACCAAUGAGCCCAUCUGCGGAUCAACUCAGGGUGUGGAUCAGCACGAAUAGAGGUGACAGUCGGUCUAGGCAGUCGAUAUGCCUGUAAAAUGCCAUUGUCUCGAUAAAUCCAGUUAUAAAUGAUAGUGGAAAGAAUUGAGGUAAAUAAACUAAAAGCAAGUAUAAUCAAGCAUUAUAUUAACGUACAUCGGGUAUUUUUCUUUACACUAACUCACAAUUGAUGCCAAUCCACAUAUCGGUAGGUAAAGGGAAGAUAAAGUCCCUCAAGAACAUUUUUAGUACAAAAUAUGGAUAGUUGUGCAUGAUAUAAUGGAAAGAAUUUUAACGUCUUUUUCUUUUUCAAUCCAUCAAAUAUGGUAU
rnacentral:lncRNA from 1 species